rnacentral:lncRNA from 1 species
CUCUGCCAAGCUCAAUCAGGCUCUCACAAGCUAUAAUCAAAGCAAAUGGGUCUAACUGGUCUAACAACCAAAUCUCACGUGCCCUUGACAAAUCUGAUGCAAAUACAAAAAUCUGGGUUCACCGUCAACCGUGACGGCACCCGGCAGUCCGAAACAGUCUACACACUACCGUAAAAUAAACUCGGCAUCCCAGCACGAACGUAAAUUCAUUCUACACUAUUCUGGAUAUCUACCGCAGACAAACUACGGCAAUACAAACAAACCACAGCUCCUAAAGCAAAAUAUGGUAGUUUUCAGAAACUG